rnacentral:rRNA from 1 species
GCAUAUCAAUAAGCGGAGGAAAAGAAAAUAACAAUGAUUCCCCUAGUAACUGCGAGUGAAGAGGGACAAGCUCAAAUUUUAAAUCUGUCGGGUUCUACCUGACCGAGUUGUAAUUUGAAGAGGCGUUUUCUGUGUUUCUGAUCAGUCCAAGUCCUUUGGGAUAAGGCAUCACGGAGGGUGAGAAUCCCGUUCGGUUGAUCAGAUUCGCUUUACGAUACGCUUUCAAAGAGUCAAGUUGUUUGGGAUUGCAGCUUAAAAUGGGAGGUAAAUUUCUCCUAAGGCUAAAUAUUGGCGAGAGACCGAUAGCGAACAAGUACCGUGAGGGAAAGAUGAAAAGAACUUUGAAAAGAGAGUUAAACAGUACGUGAAAUUGUUGAAAGGGAAACGAUUGAAGUCAGUCAUACCAACGGGAAAUCAACCUUUUGAGCUCGGUCUCGUGGGUUUUGAAGAGUUUCAAAGCCUUCGGAUUCGCGGGAUUGGGAUCUCUUGGCGUACUUUUUCGUACGGUUAGUCAACAUCGGUUUUGAAUGUCAUAAAAUGACUGGAGGAAUGUAGCUUCGAUCUCGUAUUGAAGUGUUAUAGCCUUUGGUAGAUGUGAUGUUUGAGACCGAGGAUUGCAACGGAUACCCUUCAGGGCUAUCCGUCUGGUCUCUGAAAGUUGCUCAGGUGCCGAAAGCGUGCUUACGGUUAUCUAAGAUAACGUUCAACAGGUUAGAACGUGAUUACAUUCGUUAAGGAUGUUGACGUA